rnacentral:tRNA from 1 species
GGCGACGUAGCCAAGUGGUAAGGCAAUGGUUUGCAAAACCAUGUACCACCGGUUCAAAUCCGGUCGUCGCCUCCA